rnacentral:misc_RNA from 1 species
GCAAACUUGGUCAUUUAGAGGAAGUAAAAGUCGUAACAAGGUUUCCGUAGGUGAACCUGCGGAAGGAUCAUUCAUAAUAAAAGUGUUUAUGGCACUUUUAAAACAAUCCAUAUCCACCUUGUGUGCAAUGUUUUUCUUAUUAACACUUUAUUUUAUAUCUUUUGUCUGAAAUAUUUUAUGAAUUUUACUUAAUUCGAAAAUAUAACUUUCAACAACGGAUCUCUUGGCUCUCGCAUCGAUGAAGAACGCAGC